UACUGUCCUUUUAACUUCCUCACUCAUUUCACUCUCCAUCAGGAAGCCCAGGUUUAGAUGACCCUCAGCAGAGACAUUGCACUCGGGAACAAAAUGAAAAUAUAACCACUAAAGACGUACACGCUCUCUGCAUCUUUCUUCAGCUCACUGUGACUCAUUGUUACAUAAGAACUGGACCAGAUGGUGAUCCACUGAGACUACAAAACAGGCUGUAUGCCUUUUGGCCCUUAACCUGAAAAUGCUUCACCAUGUGCACAGUAUAUACACAGGCUGCCACAGACAAAUAAGAAAAACAGAGAAGACUCAAGAAAAAAACAGCCAUAGGAAACCACCCCAAGACUUCAACAUGGAUUGCACCCCCUUCUUUGCUGGUUCCUGGAAGAUUCCUAGAGGUGAGGGAAGAGUGAGACUUCCUCAUGAAGAUUUUUUAGGUACAGACGGCAUUAUAAGGAGGUAAUGAGCUGGCAGGGAGAUGAGGCA